GCUCCAUUAGCUCAGGUGGAUAGAGCGGCCGCCUCCUAAGCGGCAGGUCGUGCGUUCGAGUCGCGCAUGGGGCA
rnacentral:tRNA from 1 species